rnacentral:rRNA from 1 species
CAGCCGCCGCGGUAAUACGAAGGGGGCUAGCGUUGUUCGGAUUUACUGGGCGUAAAGCGCACGUAGGCGGAUCGAUCAGUCAGGGGUGAAAUCCCAGAGCUCAACUCUGGAACUGCCUUUGAUACUGUCGAUCUGGAGUAUGGAAGAGGUGAGUGGAAUUCCGAGUGUAGAGGUGAAAUUCGUAGAUAUUCGGAGGAACACCAGUGGCGAAGGCGGCUCACUGGUCCAUUACUGACGCUGAGGUGCGAAAGCGUGGGGAGCAAACAGGAUUAGAUACCCGGGUAGUCCCUGUCUCUUAUAA